rnacentral:rRNA from 1 species
CACGGAGGGGGCUAGCGUUGUUCGGAAUUACUGGGCGAAAGCGCGCGUAGGCGGACCUGCAAGUCGGGGGUGAAAGCCCGAGGCUCAACCUCGGAACUGCCUUCGAUACUGCGGGUCUCGAGUCCGGGAGAGGUGAGUGGAAUUCCUAGUGUAGAGGUGAAAUUUCGUAGAUAUUAGGAAGAACACCAGUGGCGGAAAGGCG